UUCGGAUUGUAGUCUGCAACCCGACUACAUGAAGCUGGAAUCGCUAGUAAUCGCAGGUCAGCAUACUGCGGUGAAUACGUUCCCGGGUCUUGUACACACCGCCCGUCACACCAUGGGAGCCGGAAAUGCCCGAAGCCAGUGACCCAACCUUAGGGAGGGAGCUGUCGAAGGUGGAGCCGGUAACUGGGGUGAAGUCGUAACAAGGUACC
rnacentral:rRNA from 1 species